AGACCCUAAUAUUUCUUCAGGGUCCUCUGCUGGGACUCAAAUCCAGCAUAAGCGGGAGAUACAGGAGAGAGAGAGAGAGAGAGAUAUGGAAGACGCCAAGCUCGAUCUCAUGAAGGAGAUGAGAAGCCAUGAAGUCGCCAUCGCCGAACUCAAUAGCCUUCGGCCUUCUCGGUCUGUUUAUCAGAGAAAUGGGAACAUCUACUUCAGAACGACUGUCCAGAAGGCGAAAGCGUCGGAGCAAAAGCAAGUCGAUUCAGCCAAAGCGAAACUGGAGAAGCUAAAUGCACCGUGAAAUUGGCACAACCUGGCAGAUGGCAGAUAGCUGACUCUAAAGCUUCUUCUGUUCUUCAAUCUUUAGCAACAAGGUACUCGAGAUGAUCGCUUGACUAUGAACAAAAGUUUGAUGAGAAGCACCUUUGGAGCUGUUGUUUUGCGGUCUUUUGCUCUGGAUCCCAUUUGAAUUUCUCUCAGAUGGGUCAGCUAAUGGUUAAAUAGAGAGCUGCCCAGCUAUUGUAAUAAGCAUAGUGGAUGGUACUACAUGCUUGGAGUUCAGACUGGUAUCAGAAACGAUCAAUGCAUUUUCUAUACUAGUCUUGUUGAUAUUGAGUCACUGUUGCCAUUUUCGUUGA